CAGCCGCCGCGGUAAUACCAACCCCGCGAGUGGUCGGGACGUUUAUUGGGCCUAAAGCGUCCGUAGCCGGCCCGGUAAGUCCCUCCUUAAAGCCCACGGCUCAACCGUGGGAGCGGAGGGAUACUGCCGGGCUAGGGGGCGGGAGAGGCCGGGGGUACUCCUGGGGUAGGGGCGAAAUCCUAUAAUCCCAGGAGGACCACCAGUGGCGAAGGCGCCCGGCUAGCACGCGCCCGACGGUGAGGGACGAAAGCUGGGGGAGCAAAGGGGAUUAGAUACCCCCGUAGUCCCAGCUGUAAACGAUGCAGGCUAGGUGUUAGGCGGGCUUCGUGCCCGCCUAGUGCCGUAGGGAAGCCGUUAAGCCUGCCGCCUGGGGAGUACGGCCGCAAGGCUGAAACUUAAAGGGAAUUGGCGG
rnacentral:rRNA from 1 species